CCUACGGGAGGCAGCAGUGAGGAAUAUUUGGUCAAUGGGCGAGAGCCUGAACCAGCCAAGUAGCGUGCAGGAUGACGGCCCUAUGGGUUGUAAACUGCUUUUAUAAGGGAAUAAAGUGAGUCUCGUGAGGCUUUUUGCAUGUACCUUAUGAAUAAGGACCGGCUAAUUCCGUGC
rnacentral:rRNA from 1 species